rnacentral:rRNA from 1 species
AGAGUUUGAUCAUGGCUCAGAUUGAACGCUGGCGGCAUGCCUUACACAUGCAAGUCGAACGGCAGCACGGGAGCAAUCCUGGUGGCGAGUGGCGAACGGGUGAGUAAUACAUCGGAACGUGCCCAAUCGUGGGGGAUAACGCAGCGAAAGCUGUGCUAAUACCGCAUACGAUCUACGGAUGAAAGCAGGGGACCGCAAGGCCUUGCGCGAAUGGAGCGGCCGAUGGCAGAUUAGGUAGUUGGUGAGGUAAAGGCUCACCAAGCCUUCGAUCUGUAGCUGGUCUGAGAGGACGACCAGCCACACUGGGACUGAGACACGGCCCAGACUCCUACGGGAGGCAGCAGUGGGGAAUUUUGGACAAUGGGCGCAAGCCUGAUCCAGCCAUGCCGCGUGCAGGAUGAAGGCCUUCGGGUUGUAAACUGCUUUUGUACGGAACGAAACGGCUCUUUUUAAUAAAGAGGGCUAAUGACGGUACCGUAAGAAUAAGCACCGGCUAACUACGUGCCAGCAGCCGCGGUAAUACGUAGGGUGCAAGCGUUAAUCGGAAUUACUGGGCGUAAAGCGUGCGCAGGCGGUGAUGUAAGACAGUUGUGAAAUCCCCGGGCUCAACCUGGGAACUGCAUCUGUGACUGCAUCGCUGGAGUGCGGCAGAGGGGGAUGGAAUUCCGCGUAGCAGUGAAAUGCGUAGAUAUGCGGAGGAACACCGAUGGCGAAGGCAAUCCCCUGGGCCUGCACUGACGCUCAUGCACGAAAGCGUGGGGAGCAAACAGGAUUAGAUACCCUAGUAGUCC